AGGGAAUAUUGGUCAAUGGACGAAAGUCUGAACCAGCCAUUCCGCGUGCAGGAAGAAGAUUCUAUGGAUUGUAAACUGCUUUUAGCAGAGAAGAAACGCCUUCAUUGAUGAGGGUUUGACGGUAUCUGCGGAAUAAGCACCGGCUAACUCCGUGCCAGCAGCCGCGGUAAUACGGGGGGUGCAAGCGUUAUCCGGAAUCACUGGGUUUAAAGGGUGCGUAGGCGGGAAAUUAAGUCAGUGGUGAAAGUCUGUUGCUUAACGAUAGAAUUGCCGUUGAUACUGAUUUUCUUGAAUUGGGUUGAGGUUAGCGGAAUGUGACAUGUAGCGGUGAAAUGCAUAGAUAUGUCAUGGAACACCAAUUGCGAAGGCAGCUAGCUGAGCCUUGAUUGACGCUGAGGCACGAAAGCGUGGGUAGCGAAC
rnacentral:rRNA from 1 species